UUUUUUUAAAAACGAAAGUAAAUUGAAUUGAAUUUAAACCGAAACCCAAUGUAUAUACAUGUACCUAGUUCGUAGUGUCGGAUAUACUAGUACUUUACACGAGUCAAGAAAAAAUGAUUUGAAAUCCAACCCCUGUCAGAAUAAAAAUCAAAAUGGCCAGAAGACUGGUAAGGUGCACAUCGGCGGGAAACCUACUGGACGCAGACGACACAGAGCCAGCGUCACUACAAGCUGGCGAACAGGAUAUGCAGAACAGCUUUCUGCCAGGUUUACUGGGAAGAAGAAAAUCACAAUUACCAGUAACCCCUACAAAGUCCCAGGAAUGUAAAGCAAGAAUAGGCCGGGUGACGGUCAAGUUAAAGAAGGGCUUAGUUUACGACGAAGAGGUUGAUGCCAUAGUUAAUAGUACGUCACAGACGUUAACGCUUGGUGCAGGUAACGCCUCCCGGGCAAUGCUUCAGAAGGCAGGGUCUUCCAUUCAGGAUGAAUGUAACAGGAAGUAUCCGAAAGGAAUUCAGUUCGGAGAAAUAGCGGAGACAGGUGGGGGAAACUUGUACUGUGGGUACAUCUUUCAUGGCUGUCUGAAAUACUGGACAACGGAAGAAAGUAAUGAUGUUGAACAGAUCUUAACAGAUUUUGUGACGUUGUGUCUUGAGAGAGGUGAUGAACUACAUAUAAAUUCAAUGGCUAUUCCCGCUUUAGGGACUGGAUUCCUGAAUUUCCCCGCCAAAAAUGUUGUGCGACGUUUAGUCCAGUGCGUUAAAGAUUUCGAAAUGUCGCAUAAAUCAACUAGUUUAACAGAAAUACGUUUUGUGAUAUUUCCAAAAGAUACGAAAACUUUUGAAAAAUUUGAAAACGAAUUCAACCGUUAUUCUUAUUCUAUACUCUAUAAACCAGGUUCAAAAGGAAAUUUUCCAACGAAACCAAAAGAUGUUGAGUGCUCUCUAGAUAGCCUUAUGAUAAAACUUGUUGCUGGCACCCUUGUAAAUCAAAAGGUGAUGUCUAUUUACUUAGAAUCCCAAAUGUUUCGGAAAGAAGUAACCAGUUAUACAAAAGGAUGCACGCUUAUGCAUAUGUUUAUUUGGUUUUGAUAUAUUAGGUAGAUGUCAUUGUCGGUACAGUCCCUCAAUUAAAAGAACCAGGUACAAAUCAUACCUCCAAAGAAAUCACUCGAGCUGCUGGUUCAGGACUAGAGGCGGAAUUUGCCGAGAAAUAUCCAACGGGCAUCGAUAUCGGUGACGUCAUAUCAACAGAUAGCCACGCCAUCAGAAAUGUCGAGACCGUGUAUUUUGGGGCCCUACCAACAUAUGCUGCAAGAGAACGAGAUCAGAAUUUGCAGGCAUUGACAUUACUAGUUCAGAUGUGUCUGAAUAAAUUGGAAGACGAUGGCCACAAAACAGUUGCCAUUCCUACUCUAGGUGUCGGAGAUUUUAAAUAUCCCGUCAGGAUGUCGGCCGCUACAAUCGUUUCAGCCAUCAAAGACUUUUGUAGAGCCAAUCAGUGCUCUGAUAUCAGUACCAUAAUCAUAGUGGUAGAUAUCGUCGACUACGAUUUCUCAAAUAUAUGGAAGGUGUUCGAAGCAGAAGUCGUUAAGAUCACUCCUCCGAAGAUGAAAAACGCAGCUCCCAUAAUAUUACCAAAGCCGCCACCGACCAGAGGGUCCCGUGACUGGUUCUCGUUGAUGUACGAGGAGGAGCUCUGUGUCCCCUCAUACUGGACCACGUAUACAGGUGGGGAGAAUAUUAAGGUGUGCAAACGGAAAAGGAACCGCCGACCAUACAGACUGGUUGCUGUUGACGAAGCCACGCGAAAUCUCGUCGUUAAACUCGUGGAAGACACUUGGGAUUAUAGACAUGUGGGCCACGGGAACGACGCUAAAGGCUUAGACCAGCUGAUGUAUCGAAAAAUACGUGUAACCAAGGUAGAGCGUGUAGAAAAUCUAGAUCUGUAUGAGAGCUAUGUCCAAGAGAGGCAAAGGUUUUUUGACAAAGCGAGGACAAGGGGAAGACCGACACCCAUAGCAAAUAUUGCUAAAUCAUCGGGGAACAUUAAAACCAGUACCAUUCUAUCGUCUCACAAGUCUGGGGCUGGUUUUACUUCUGACAUUUAUCCAGAGAUCAAUGAGCAUUUCGUGUUUCACGGCACGCUUGCCGACACAAUGGACUCUGUUCUGACUCAGGGACUGGACUGCAGGAUGUCCCGAGGAACGGCUAUGUUCGGACAGGGUGCAUACGGCGCCGAGAGCUCCACAAAGGCGGACCAGUAUGUUGAUAGGAAAGAAAACAGACAGAAAAUCCCACACCAGAUGUUGCUAGUGCGCAUGUGCUUAGGAGACAUAUGCUUGUACGACCUACCCGUUGCACACAGACGGGCGCCUUGUAAGCGCUGUAGAAAUGACAACUGCAAAGCUCACAAACCAAAAGACUUUUACGACUCUGUAGUCGGAGAUGGAAAAUGGCUGUUCCGAGAGUUCAUUGUCUACGACAAGCGUCAGGCCUACCCGGAAUAUCUCAUCACUUAUGAACGUGUUUAAUGUUCACUAUAUUUGUUGUAUUUUAAUUGCUGCUUAAUUGUUGAUUAAAACAACACUUGCCAUUCUCAAACACGCCCCCCCCCCCCUUCCAAGAUUUUCCCCCUGUCUUUAUAGCUGCAUUUAGAUCUCUUUAGCACAUCUUCAUGCUCUUGGUUGAAUCUCUAUCAUUGUAUAAACACGAGGGCAUGUAUUCCUUUUGUAUAAUAUUUUUAGAAUUUUUUUUAAGAAAAAAGAACUAUU
rnacentral:misc_RNA from 1 species